CCCUUCGCGGAGGGGGACCCGGAACAGAAGCCAUUGAAACACUGCGCGGCGCCAGGAGGCAGCUGGGCUCCGGCCGCCGCAGAGCAGCGGGGACGCCGCGCCGCACCUAUGCGUGUCCGGAAGUCCGCCUCCCACAGUUAUGAAGCUGGAUGCUGAUGAACACCUGUUUCCUCACAGCAGCUCCAUCCCCCCGGGGACUUGUAGCAGGUGAUGAGGCUGGGAGUGGGCAGCAAGGACCAGACAGGACAGCACUGGACAGACUCCGAGGGCCCCGGGCCUUGUCUGGGCUCCGCCACUAGAGCCAGGAUGAGGAAUUUCAACUCGUCUCUUCAGCAGCCAAGCGAGGGUUCUGCAUUCUGUGCACAUAGGGUUCUCUCUGCCCUUCAGAAGACUGCAUACCCACCAUCCUGUCUUCUGAGCAAUAAAGCUGAAUGUCCCAGGAGCGGGAAGCCCCACCGAUCCAGUGUGCCCCUGGCUGCGUGGUGUUUAGAAAACAAAGCCGUCACCUGUAGAAGUCCAUGCUGCUUCUAUGUUAUACUAAACCCUUCCAGACAGGCACAAGGGGCCUCGUCACUGAAAGGGAAACGAGGCGUCUACACGGAGACGGAGGGCAGGCGGGAGCCACGAUCAAGACCCGAUUCUUCAGCAUCAUGCUGGUUGUCGUUACCUGUUGGUUGCCAAAAUCAUCAAUGAAGGCCCUCUAUUCUACCUUGAGAUGCAACCGGAUAUCAAUGGAGGUGCUUUGAAGUAUGUCAGAAAUGUGAGACUUCUGGAAAGAUGCGCCCCCCACAAGGUCAACCUGGGAGUGGGAGUUUAUCGCAUGGAUGACUACCAGCCCUGGGUAUUGCCUGUAGUGAGGAAGGUGGAGCAGAAGAUUGCUGACUACAAUAACCUAAAUCACCAUCCUGGGCCUCCCGGAGUUCCGGACCCAUGCUUCCUGCCUUGCCCUUGGGGAUGACAGCACAGUAAUCCGGGAGAAGCAGAUAGGUGUGCAGUCUUUGAGGGAAAGAGGGGCACUUUGAAUGGGAACCGAGUUCUCAGCACAAUGGUACAAUGGAACAAACAAAGACACACCUGCCUACAUAUCUUCACCAACCUGGUGAAAAGGAAAAUGGAGGGGCGGGGGCUUGCAACCUGGUUUAGUAUCUGGUUAAAACUGUAGUCUUACUUCCCCACUCUGACUGACGCGGGCAGAGCUGCAGGGACCCUCAGGGGCCCGCCACAGGAGGAGAUAUAUAGGUCAGAGCCUUCCCACGAGUUCAGUUCCGGCUUUGGAUCCAGAAUUCCCCUGGCCUAGCAGAUCCGCAAAAUAAAAGUUAAACUUUCCUCCUUCAGAGUGCGGCUGACCGUUCACCCAUGCCUUCUGCCACUUUUGGUACAUCGGCCAGGAAAAACAUCAGUUGAGCUGGCUCUUAGGCCACUGCUGACAAGAGUGGGCUUCGGGGCACUUGCUUCGGCCUCCGAGACCCAAGGAAGGUGUGCCCCCGGCAGGCCGGUGCCUGAACUCGGGGGCCCCAGGGGGACUGCGGUGACUGUGCUCUCAUGGACUCAAAAGAGGCAGGAAACACCAUUCUGGGCCUUCCCGGAGGGAAGUCAAAACUCGGACUGGCUCAGGGUAUGAGGCUAGCCUGCCUUUGGAAAAGGUAGAAGAGAAAUGUUCCUAGGCAGUCUCCCACUGCCUCUGUUCAGAGACUUGUUCUGUAUCUCUGCGCAAUUGAAACUGAUUUGGUGGAUGCAGGGUAUUCUGGGGUAUAAAUGUGGCAUGCGCCGGUGUAAAAGUGUUUAUUUACUGUU